UGGGGAAUUUUGCACAAUGGGGGAAACCCUGAUGCAGCGACGCCGCGUGAUUUAGAAGGCCUUCGGGUUGUAAAAAUCUUUUUUAUGGGAUGAAAAUGACAGUACCAUAAGAAUAAGGUCCGGCUAAAUACGUGCCAGCAGCCGCGGUAAUACGUAUGGACCGAGCGUUGUCCGGAAUCAUUGGGCGUAAAGGGUACGUAGGCGGCCCAGUAAGUUAGAAGUGAAAUCCUAUAGCUCAACUAUAGUAAGCUUUUAAAACUGCUCAUCUUGAGGUAUGGAAGGGAAAGUGGAAUUCCUAGUGUAGCGGUGAAAUGCGCAGAUAUUAGGAGGAAUACCGGUGGCGAAGGCGACUUUCUGGCCAUAAACUGACGCUGAGGUACGAAAGCGUGGGUAGCAAACAGG
rnacentral:rRNA from 1 species